CCUACGGGAGACAGCAGUGGGGGAUAUUGCACAAUGGGGGGAACCCUGAUGCAGCGACGCCGCGUGUGGGAAGACGGUCCUCUGGAUUGUAAACCACUGUCCCCAGGGACGAAAAUGACGGUACCUGGGGAGGAAGCUACGGCUAACUACGUGCCAGCAGCCGCGGUAAUACGUAGGGAGCGAGCGUAGUCCGGAAUUACUGGGUGUAAAGGGAGCGUAGGCGGGGAUGCAAGUUGGGUGUCAAAACUACCGGCUCAACUGGUAGUCGCACUCAAAACUGCAGCUCUUGAGUGAAGUAGAGGCAGGCGGAAUGCCUAGUGUAGCGGUGAAAUGCGUAGAUAUUAGGAGGAACACCAGUGGCGAAGGCGGCCUGCUGGGCUUUUACUGACGCUGAGGCUCGAAAGUGUGGGGAGCAAACAGGAUUAGAUACCCGGGUAGUC
rnacentral:rRNA from 1 species